UACGUAGGGUGCUAGCGUUAAUCGGAAUUACUGGGCGUAAAGCGUGCGCAGGCGGUUUUUCAAGUCUGAUGUGAAAGCCCCGGGCUUAACCUGGGAACUGCGUUGGAAACUGAAAGACUAGAGUACGGCAGAGGGGGGUAGAAUUCCACGUGUAGCAGUGAAAUGCGUAGAGAUGUGGAGGAACACCAGUGGCGAAGGCGGCUCUCUGGUCUGUAACUGACGCUGAGGCGCGAAAGCGUGGGGAGCAAACAGG
rnacentral:rRNA from 1 species